CGAAAUUCGAAUCGGCAUUAGCAAAAAAAGGCACUGACGCCACGAGGGACCUGUGAGCAAAGCAAACGCAAUUAUAGAUUAAUAAGUGAACGGAAAUGUGGUGGGAUUAAAAUUAGUUUGUGUGAUUAAAUGCAGUAGCUAAUGCUGAUUUGCAGUUAAUGCCGCUACAUUUAGAUCGCCCACCUGCAAUUGUAGUUGAUGACAUCCUCGCGCAAUUUCUCGCUCAACUCGCCAAGUAUCAACUCUUCAUCGAAGAAUUUACCCUGGUAC